rnacentral:lncRNA from 1 species
UUAAACAAAGGAAAAUUGUAUGGUUUGGGGUAGGCUCGAAAGAAAGAAAGGUUUAAAGAUGUGGUGUAUAAAAUGGAUUCACUAAUUGGAAAAGAAGAAAUUUUCUUUUUUACGGAUCUUUCACGUCUUUUCGUUCGCACCUAGACCGUAUACAAUUUUUUUUUCAAUUUUUUUCUUUUCGAUUUUUUUUUGAAUUCUUUUUUUUUGAAACUACAAUUUACGUACCUAAAUUAACCAGCUCUGAUACCAACUGAUACGAGC